GGGCCCGGUCCCUUCGUGUAGUGGGUGCGCCAGGGGGUGCCACGAGGCAGGAGAACAAAGAGCUCAGGAGUGAGGCAAGACCAGCAUCAAGACAUAACGACUCAUCCAAGGCUCCCCGGCGACCCGUCUCAGCCCGGAGGGGUUCGGAGUGGCCUGCCACGCCGGGGAAUGCAGAGCAUGAAGGGCAAAACUGGGGACCGGUCGUCGUCGGGCAUCCCCCGCAGAGUCCCAUAAUAAAUAGUCCUCUAGUGAUGGAA